UACAGAGGUCCCGAGCGUUGUUCGGAUUCACUGGGUUUAAAGGGUGCGUAGGUGGGUUGGUAAGUCAGUGGUGAAAUCUCCAGGCUUAACUUGGAAACUGCCAUUGAUACUAUCAAUCUUGAAUACCGUGGAGGUCAGCGGAAUAUGUCAUGUAGCGGUGAAAUGCUUAGAUAUGACAUAGAACACCAAUUGCGAAGGCAGCUGGCUACGCGGAUAUUGACACUGAUGCACGAAAGCGUGGGGAUCAAACAGG
rnacentral:rRNA from 1 species